rnacentral:misc_RNA from 1 species
AGCAGCCGCGGUAAUUCCAGCUCCAAUAGCGUAUAUUAAAGUUGUUGCAGUUAAAAGCUCGUAGUUGAAUUUCGGGAUCAAUAUAUCGGUCGUGCCUUGGUACGUACUGGUAUCAUUGGUUUCUCCUUUCUGACGAACCAUGAUGUCAUUAAUUUGGUGUUAUGGGAAGUUAGGACUGUUACUUUGAAAAAUUAGAGUGUUUAAAGCAAGCUAACGCUUGAAUACAUUAGCAUGGAAUAAUGAAAUAGGACGUUCGAUCCUAUUUUGUUGGUUUCUAGGAUUGACGUAAUGAUUAAUAGGGAUAGUUGGGGGCAUUAGUAUUCAAUUGUCAGAGGUGAAAUUCUUGGAUUUAUUGAAAGACUAACUACUGCGAAAGCAUUUGCCAAGGAUGUUUUCAUUAAUCAAGAACGAAAGUUAGGGGAUCGAAGACGAU